rnacentral:rRNA from 1 species
AUUGAACGCUGGCGGCAGGCCUAACACAUGCAAGUCGAACGAGUGGCGGACGGGUGAGUAAUGUCUGGGAACCUGCCCGAUGGCGGGGGAUAACUACUGGAAAGGUAGCUAAUACCGCAUACUAUUGGAGCGGCCGAUAUCGGAUUAGCUAGUUGGUGGGGUAACGGCUAACCAAGGCGACGAUCCGUAGCUGGUUUGAGAGGAAGACCAGCAACACUGGGACGGAGACACGGCCCAGACUCCUACGGGAGGCAGCAGUGGGGAAUUGUGGACAAUGGGGGAAACCCUGAUCCAGCCAUCCCGCGUGUGUGAUGAAGGCCUUCGGGUUGUAAAGUACUUGUGGCAGGAAAGCGGUACCUGCAGAAUAAGCACCGGCUAACUACGUGCCAGCAGCCGCGGUAAUUC